GACGAACGCUGGCGGCGUGCUUAACACAUGCAAGUCGAACGGAAAGGCCCUGCUUUUGUGGGGUGCUCGAGUGGCGAACGGGUGAGUAACACGUGAGUAACCUGCCCUUGACUUUGGGAUAACUUCAGGAAACUGGGGCUAAUACCGGAUAGGAUCUCCUGCUGCUUGGUGGGGGUUGGGAAGGUUCGGCGGUUGGGGAUGGACUCGCGGCUUAGCAGCUUGUUGGUGGGGUAGGGGCUUACCAAGGCGUUGCCGGGUAGCCGGCCUGAGAGGGUGACCGGCCACAUUGGGACUGAGGUGCGGCCCGGAGUCCUACGGGAGGCAGCAGUGGGAAAUAGUGCACAAUGGGCGGAAGCCUGAUGGAGCAACGCCGCGUGCGGGAUGACGGCCUUCGGGUUGUAAACCGCUUUCGCCUGUGACGAAGCGUGAGUGACGGUAAUGGGUAAAGAAGCACCGGCUAACUACGUG
rnacentral:rRNA from 1 species